rnacentral:rRNA from 1 species
GACGAACGCUGGCGGCGUGCUUAACACAUGCAAGUCGAACGGUGAAGCUAGUGCUUGCACUCGUUGAUCAUUGUCGAACGUUUUAGUAACACGUGAGUAACCUGCCCAUCACUCUUGGAUAUGCACUGGAAACGGUGUCUAAUACUGCAUACGACCAACCCUUGCAUGGGGUGUUGGUGGAAAGAUUUAUCCGUGAUGGAUUGACUCGCGGCCUAUCAGAUUGUUGGCGUGGUAAUGGCCCACCCAGGCUAAGACGGGUAGCCGACCUGAGAGGGUGACAGGGAACACUGGAAAUGAAAGACAGGACAGAAUGCAAAGGGAGGGAGAAGUGGAGAAUAUUGCACAAUGGGGGAAAGGCUGAUGAAGAGAGGCGGAGUGAGGGAUGACGGACUUCGGGUUGUAAAACUAUUAAAGAAGGGAAGAAGCGAAAGUGAAGGUAGCUGAAGAAGAAGGACCGGCUGAAUACGUG